rnacentral:lncRNA from 1 species
AACCCCCAAAAAGAAACCUAGAUCGGGAGUUCCGCCGCCGCAAGCCUCUGUAGCCACCAAAAACCAAUCUGGAGCCCGUUCUGGCACCCUGCCAGAGGGGGAAUCCAUCUCCGGUGGCCAUCUUCAUCAUCCCGGCGAUCUCCAUGACGAGGAGGGAGUAGUUCUCCCUCGGGGAUGAGGGUAUGUACCAGUAGCUAUGUGUUUGAUCUCUCUCUCUCUCUC